rnacentral:lncRNA from 1 species
GCUGCAACGCCAGCCUGUGACCCCGGCUACCAGCCCACGCCAGGGGGUGGAUGCCAGGGUGGGUACCCACUGGAUGUUGGCUGAGAUGGGUGGAAGGGUGGAAGGUUCAGAAAUACCUUACUAUUGGUGAUUGCAGAUGUGGACGAGUGCCGGAAACCGGUCCUUCUGUGGUGCCCAUGCCGUGUGCCAGAACCUGCCUGGAUCCUUUCAGUGCCUCUGUGACCAGGGCUACGAGGGGGGCGCGGGACGGGCGUCACUACUGCGUGGAUGUGAAUGAGUGUGAAACAUUGCAGGGUGUCUGUGGAGCUGCCCUUUGUGAAAUGUUGAAGGCUCCUUCCUGUGUGUCUGCCCUACCAGCCCUGAGGAAUUUGACCCCAUGACUGGACGCUGUAUUCCUCCACGGACUUCUGCUGCUGCACUUCCAGGUUCACAGCCCCAGGCACCUGCCAGCCCCAACCUGCCGGCCAGGCCACCCCCACCAUCCCCACCCCGCAGACCCAGCACACCUAGGCAGGGUCCUGUGGGCAGCGGGCGCCGGGAGUGUUACUUUGACACAGCAGCCCCAGAUGCAUGUGACAACAUCCUGGCCCGGAAUGUGACAUGGCAGGAGUGCUGCUGUACUGUGGGCGAGGGCUGGGGCAGUGGCUGUCGCAUCCAGCAAUGCCCAAGCACCGAGACAGGUGGGUGGUAGGCUGGUGGGUGGACACAGGGCUGAAGGUUUGGGUGGGAGUAGAGGGGCACG